rnacentral:tRNA from 1 species
GCGCCUGUAGCUUAAUGGAUAGAGCAAUACCCUUCUAAGGUAGAGGUUGUGGGUCCGACUCCCGCCAGGCGCACCA